UAUCCAAGCAAUUAGAGUGAAGAACUAUAAACAACAGAAAAAUCAUAUUUUAGAGUAAAAAUAAGUGCUUCAAUAACAAUUUAAUUCUUUAAAAAAAUGGGAACCAGCAAAUUUUUCAAUUUCCUUAAAAUUAUCUGCAACUCUGAAAGCUACCAGCAAACCAGAGAAUAUUACUGGCUUAGCACAUAAAUAAUACAACAUUCAAGGAUGAGGUAGUGAGAAAGAAAAUAUUCAAUUAAAGAAUAGAGAUAUCUCAGUACUAUCUUGGACACCAGAUCAAGUUAAGAUCUAAGAGUAAACAAUUAAAACAUCUUAAUCUUCACAAGAACAUGAGUAAAGCAAUGUACCAGAAUGUUGAUUAACAUGCAAUUGAGUAAAAAAAAUCUUACUUGAUUUUUCCUCUGCAGAUACCG
rnacentral:misc_RNA from 1 species